rnacentral:rRNA from 1 species
GUGGGGAAUAUUGGACAAUGGGCGCAAGCCUGAUCCAGCAAUGCCGCGUGGGUGAAGAAGGUCUUCGGAUUGUAAAGCCCUUUCGGCGGGGACGAUGAUGACGGUACCCGCAGAAGAAGCCCCGGCUAACUUCGUGCCAGCAGCCGCGGUAAUACGAAGGGGGCGAGCGUUGCUCGGAAUGACUGGGCGUAAAGGGCGCGUAGGCGGCGGACACAGUCAGGCGUGAAAUUCCUGGGCUCAACCUGGGGGCUGCGCUUGAUACGUGUUUGCUAGAGUUAGGAAGAGGGUCGUGGAAUUCCCAGUGUAGAGGUGAAAUUCGUAGAUAUUGGGAAGAACACCGGUGGCGAAGGCGGCGACCUGGUCCUGGACUGACGCUGAGGCGCGAAAGCGUGGGGAGCAAACAGGAUUAGAAACCCGAGUAGUCC